rnacentral:rRNA from 1 species
UACGUAGGGUGCAGGCGUUAAUCGGAAUUACUGGGCGUAAAGCGUGCGCAGGCGGUUUGCUAAGACAGGUGUGAAAUCCCCCGGGCUUAACCUGGGAAUGGCAUUUGGGACUGCAAGGCUGGAGUGCGGCAGAGGAGACUGGAAUUCCUGGUGUAGCAGUGAAAUGCGUAGAUAUCAGGAAGAACACCAACGGCGAAGGCAGCUCGCUGGGACGGAACUGACGCUAAGGCGCGAAAAGCGUGGGGAGCGAACAGG